UGCAUCAAUUCUAUUUUCAUUUUUCACGUAUCGGCCGACCGAGUUGAACUACAUUUCAACACCCUUCGAGGCUGAUUUCUGUAUCAUCGGCUGAUUUACCACACUGCAUAUCUGAGAAUUGGCGCGUUGGCAAGUAUUGUUGUGCAAAUUAGCAAUCUAAUGGUUAUAUAAAGCAUUAUCUAUGAAUAUGAGACGUUCAGCACUGACGUAAACAGGCCAAGAAUGGUGGCCAAGAAUCGAUGCUGUAUGACAAACCGGUUCUAUAUCAUAUUUGAUUGCCCAACGAGGACCACCACAGCACAGUUUUAGUCACAACAAACAGGUAAUGUAGCAUAUUAAAUGAUAAUCAUGUUUCAGGUACCAUUCUGUUAUGUGUGUUUCAAUAUUAUAUGAAAGCGUACAUUGGUGAGGUUCCGUGUAACGUCGUAUGUGAUGGCAAACAAUAUUUGAAGCAAUCGACUUUUUGCAUCGCUAUUUAUAUUUACCAUUAUUUAUCGCUGCUGUCCACCGAAUGCUGAACAGGAGUUGCAAAACCAAGUUGACUUUCUGAGAUCCGCACAUCCUUCCGGAUUGCUUACAUUGGAUCCAUCACAACAAGAAAGCAUUGACACGAAGCUUCCCUUUGCCGAGGAAGACUGCAAGAGCCCGGAACAGAUGAUGAUUGACGAAACCCAGUCCGUAUUUAAAGUAUUUGACUACUGAGAAAGCUAUUUCGUUUGCAACCUUAGUGCACGUAUAGGACAUCGAUGAUUUUAGGGCAAUAAAAUCUAGUGACAUUAUUCGAGAAUA